rnacentral:lncRNA from 1 species
UCCCGGUCCCGCUCCAGAUCCCGGUCCCGAUUCCAAUCCAGAUCCCGGUCCCGAUCCUCACCUGCAUCUUUCCCGUCCCCACCUCUCCACUUCCUCCCCCCGCUCCAGCCAAUCGCCUGCCUCAGACUCCGCGCCUCAGCCAAUCAGAUCGCGGUCCGCCUAAAAGUCCCGCCUUCCUGCCAAUCAUAUUGGUGGCCACGCAGGCAGCGCCACUGCCGGUGUUCUGAUUGGCUGCAGGGGAAAGGGGCGGGGGCGGCUCGGACCAAUCGGAGCGGGCGGUGGCAGUUCGGGGGUCCCAAUCCCAGUCCCGGACUCGAUCCCGGUCCCAAUCCCGGUCCCGGUCCCGAUCACAAUCCCGUCCCAAACCUGGUCCCGGUCCCGGUCCCGGUCCCGGUCCCGGUCCCGGUCCCAAUCCCGAUCCCGGUCCCGGUCCUGAUCCCGGUCCUGGCCCUGGUCCCAGUCCUGAUCCUGGUCCCAGUCCCGGUCCCGGUCCCAAGGUGUCCCAGCCCCGAGUCGGGACCCCCGGGGUUCCCUCCCAGCCGUCCCGCAGGACGAUCCCCCAGGAGGAUCCCAACAGAUCCCAAUCCCCGCGGGGAUUCGCAGUCACCCCCGGGAUCCCAGAUCCCUCCGGAUCCCCCAGGGAACCGCAGCAUCCCGCAGAGCGGAUCCCGGAUCCGUCGUGGACUUCUGGGAGAGUCAAAAUCCCCCUGGGAACCCCUGAGUGGAUCCCAGUUUUCUUGGGCAUCCCUGGAGAGAGGGGCUGGGGCAGACCCCAGACCCCUCAGGGAUCCCCAGGUGCUCCCAGAGCAGAUCCCAAAUCCCCUGGGAACCACUGGGUGCCCCAGCACAGAGCCAGGAUCCCCCUGGGACCCUCAGCAGCCGCCCCAAAAGGAACCCCAGUCCCUGGGAGAUCCUUGGGAAGUCUCCAGGAGCAGAUCCCGGAUCCCUCAGGGACCGACAAUCCCCUCCAGAGCCAGGAUCCGUGCUGGGAUCAUCCCGCUGGAUUCACUCGGGGCAGCAGCUCCCGCCCCCCGGGGGGGUCCCGCGGUGUCCCCCCCGCGGUGUCCCCAUCCCUCGGGGACACGGUCACGGUGA